GCUGGGUGUGGUGGCAUACACCUGUAAUCCUAGAGAUUCGGGAGGCUGAGGCAGGAGGAUCGCAAGUUCAAAGUCAGCCUCAGCAAAAGCGAGGCAUUAAGUAACUCAGUGAGAUCCUGUCUCUA
rnacentral:sRNA from 1 species